rnacentral:rRNA from 1 species
UACGGAGGGUGCAAGCGUUAUCCGGAUUUACUGGGUUUAAAGGGUGCGUAGGUGGACUAGUAAGUCAGUGGUGAGAUCUCCGGGCUUAACCCGGAAACUGCCAUUGAUACUAUUGGUCUUGAAUACUUUGGAGGUAAGCGGAAUAUGUCAUGUAGCGGUGAAAUGCUUAGAUAUGACAUAGAACACCAAUUGCGAAGGCAGCUCACUACACGCUUAUUGACACUGAGGCACGAAAGCGUGGGGAUCAAACAGG